UUAACUCAAAUUUGUAUGGAGUUGGAACGUUUGCCUUCGUUUGCCGCUAGGGGCGCUGUUCUAACUGCACAGUUAACUUCGAUA
rnacentral:pre_miRNA from 1 species